rnacentral:snRNA from 1 species
GAACUCUGGCUUCUCUUCAACGUAUGAUUCUUUCGCAUUUUACUAAAUAAAUCCGUGGAGGGGAGCAGUUCAAUGAGUCUUGAACAGUUUUUUCAUAGAAUACUAACUUACAGUAAGUUA